AGCAGGGUAAGCUAAAUAAGCUAUCGGGCCCAUACCCCGAAAAUGAAGGUAUAACUCCCUCCCCUACUA
rnacentral:tRNA from 1 species